UUGUUCUUGGUGUAUUUGUCAUGCCAUAUUUUGAUUUUGGAGGUUUUAAUUGAACAAU
rnacentral:tRNA from 1 species